GACGAACGCUGGCGGCGUGCUUAACACAUGCAAGUCGAGCGGUAAGGCCCUUUCGGGGGUACACGAGCGGCGAACGGGUGAGUAACACGUGGGUGAUCUGCCCUGCACUUUGGGAUAAGCCUGGGAAACUGGGUCUAAUACCGGAUAGGACCUCGGGAUGCAUGUCUUGGGGUGGAAAGCUUUUGCGGUGUGGGAUGGGCCCGCGGCCUAUCAGCUUGUUGGUGGGGUGAUGGCCUACCAAGGUGA
rnacentral:rRNA from 1 species